rnacentral:lncRNA from 1 species
UCUUGUUCUGGUCAGUCAAAACUCCCUCUUUCUCGAAUAAAUCAUGUAACAAGAAGUUUACACGAAAACCAUGUCGACAGCAGUUCUCCAUCUAUGCUUCUACAUCAUUUUCUUUUAAAAAACAUAUGCUUCUACAUAGGACAAAAAUAUAGAUGGUCAACUCGAGUUUCAACUGAGAAAUGUGGUCCAGCAGUUGAUGAUAGACAUCAGGUAUUUGUAAUCUUGUGUGUAGUUUUGGGCCGCUGACCAGAUCUUAUCUGGUUCUUCAGCAACAACCUGUCAUGGGUCAUGACCUCAUGGGCAUGAACAAACUGUCAGACUAGAUAUCUCCAUCUCAGGGGCCGCUCUACAUGUUUCAUUUCAAUAGGAUGCAAUCAUCAAUAACUCAUAAUUAUUAGUGUGCACAGUACCUCACAACACAAAUAGAAUUGGACCUAAUUCGUGCAUGCCUAUUGUCUUUGCCACUAAAACAGGUGAGUAUGGGAGCAUACUAUGAUGUCUCCAAGCAUACCCAAGACAAGAGACCUGCUAAUAUCGUCCCCAACAAGUGGCAAACAGAUGGCCCCAGAGAAAUCUAAUCAAGAUCACACUGCCUGCCCUUGCACUUACGGCAUUAAUAUUGCAUGUUUUGAGCUCAUGGCUCUGUCCCUUGCCAACCUGUCAGGAUAGCUGCACCUAAACUGCAUUGUUCUCUUCUCUUCCUUCCCCCUCAUCUGUAUAAAUUCAUCAGCUUAGCACCACCAUCACCUCAUCAGUUCAUCCAGAAAGCGCAAGCUAAAGCGGCACCACUACACCUAGUCAAGAACGGAGGAGGAGCAAAACAAAACAUGGUUAGUGCCAAGAGACUUUCUCAGAUGGCAAAGAAGUGGCAGAAAAUAGCGGGAAUUGGGAGGAAGAGGCUCACCCGGACCACGACAGCGGCGAAAGAAGCAGCCAAUGACGAGUGCUGC